rnacentral:rRNA from 1 species
GGACAGAUGGGAGCUUGCUCCCUGAUGUUAGCGGCGGACGGGUGAGUAACACGUGGGUAACCUGCCUGUAAGACUGGGAUAACUCCGGGAAACCGGGGCUAAUACCGGAUGCUUGUUUGAACCGCAUGGUUCAAACAUAAAAGGUGGCUUCGGCUACCACUUACAGAUGGACCCGCGGCGCAUUAGCUAGUUGGUGAGGUAAUGGCUCACCAAGGCAACGAUGCGUAGCCGACCUGAGAGGGUGAUCGGCCACACUGGGACUGAGACACGGCCCAGACUCCUACGGGAGGCAGCAGUAGGGAAUCUUCCGCAAUGGACGAAAGUCUGACGGAGCAACGCCGCGUGAGUGAUGAAGGUUUUCGGAUCGUAAAGCUCUGUUGUUAGGGAAGAACAAGUGCCGUUCAAAUAGGGCGGCACCUUGACGGUACCUAACCAGAAAGCCACGGCUAACUACGUGCCAGCAGCCGCGGUAAUACGUAGGUGGCAAGCGUUGUCCGGAAUUAUUGGGCGUAAAGGGCUCGCAGGCGGUUUCUUAAGUCUGAUGUGAAAGCCCCCGGCUCAACCGGGGAGGGUCAUUGGAAACUGGGGAACUUGAGUGCAGAAGAGGAGAGUGGAAUUCCACGUGUAGCGGUGAAAUGCGUAGAGAUGUGGAGGAACACCAGUGGCGAAGGCGACUCUCUGGUCUGUAACUGACGCUGAGGAGCGAAAGCGUGGGGAGCGAACAGGAUUAGAUACCCUGGUAGUCCACGCCGUAAACGAUGAGUGCUAAGUGUUAGGGGGUUUCCGCCCCUUAGUGCUGCAGCUAACGCAUUAAGCACUCCGCCUGGGGAGUACGGUCGCAAGACUGAAACUCAAAGGAAUUGACGGGGGCCCGCACAAGCGGUGGAGCAUGUGGUUUAAUUCGAAGCAACGCGAAGAACCUUACCAGGUCUUGACAUCCUCUGACAACCCUAGAGAUAGGGCUUCCCCUUCGGGGGCAGAGUGACAGGUGGUGCAUGGUUGUCGUCAGCUCGUGUCGUGAGAUGUUGGGUUAAGUCCCGCAACGAGCGCAACCCUUGAUCUUAGUUGCCAGCAUUCAGUUGGGCACUCUAAGGUGACUGCCGGUGACAAACCGGAGGAAGGUGGGGAUGACGUCAAAUCAUCAUGCCCCUUAUGACCUGGGCUACACACGUGCUACAAUGGACAGAACAAAGGGCAGCGAGACCGCGAGGUUAAGCCAAUCCCACAAAUCUGUUCUCAGUUCGGAUCGCAGUCUGCAACUCGACUGCGU